GGCUGAUAGAGGGCAGAAACGGCAGUCUACGCAGUCUACGCAGUCUACGCAGAGUGCUAUACCGUGGAAUGCAUGACGUCAUGCAUAAACCGGGCUGAGAAUCAGGGUUCCCAAUGUAUGUACAGUACAUUACCUACCUAGCCCUGUGCCCUACAUGCGGUUUUCUCUCGGGUCAAUCAUUUACAUUGCGGCCGAGACUGAUCCGCUUAUUUAUUUACCAAAAAAAAAAAAAAAACCCCUUUUAAGUGAUCCCUUGUCUAACGCCAAGGGAUUUCUGUCGAUCUCUAUCUAGUCACGAAACUCGCUAAGUAUGGAUCUCUCCGUCCCCCUUUUCCCCUUCCCCGCACCAGGCGCAACCGCAUUGCUAGUCGUCUACAGAGCGGUUUGCAUCCUUCAGCCCAUUACAGUGCUGUGAAAAACAUGCCAUGCCGCUGUGGCAAUUGGGUCUUAUAUCUCUCGAUACUGUUACUGUUCAUCAUUGGGACCUCAAACUGGCCGAGUUAUUAAUCAAUCGCUUAUGUACAUGUACAUACAUACAUACAUGUACAUUACAUGUACUCGUACACGUAGGUAGGUAGAUAGGUAGGUAGGUAGGUAUUACGUCCUGUUAAAAACACCCAUGCAGAUUCAAGCCUCUAUCCCUCUAUUAUUCAGAGGACAUAAGUAAAAAAAAAAAAGAAAGAAAGAAAGAAAAAAAAAGAAAAAAAAAGAAAAUAACCACCUGAAAGAUAUCGCGGUUUGUUUUUUUUUUUUUUUUUUUUUUACCUUUCUUUUUAAAUCCAUCAUCAACACCCCCCGGGGCCGC
rnacentral:sRNA from 1 species